ACUCCUACGGGAGGCAGCAGUGGGAAGUAUUGCACAAUGGCGGCAGCAUGCUAUGCAGCCAUGCCGCGUGUGUGAAGAAGGCCUUCGGGUUGUAAAGCACUUUCAGUCGUGAGGAAGGUAGUGUAGUUAAUAGCUGCAUUAUUUGACGUUAGCGACAGAAGAAGCACCGGCUAACUCCGUGCCAGCAGCCGCGGUAAUACGGAGGGUGCGAGCGUUAAUCGGAAUUACUGGGCGUAAAGCGCAUGCAGGUGGUUUGUUAAGUCAGAUGUGAAAG
rnacentral:rRNA from 1 species